CUCGUAGGUGGUUUGUCGCGUUGUCCGUGAAAUCUCACAGCUUAACUGUGAGCGUGCGGGCGAUACGGGCAGACUGGAGUACUGCAGGGGAGACUGGAAUUCCUGGUGUAGCGGUGGAAUGCGCAGAUAUCAGGAGGAACACCGGUGGCGAAGGCGGGUCUCUGGGCAGUAACUGACGCUGAGGAGCGAAAGCGUGGGGAGCGAACA
rnacentral:rRNA from 1 species